rnacentral:rRNA from 1 species
AUUGAACGCUGGCGGCAGGCCUAACACAUGCAAGUCGAACGGAUGUAGAGAGCUUGCUCCUGUAUUCAGUGGCGGACGGGUGAGUAAUGCCUAGGGAUCUGCCUGUUAGUGGGGGAUAACGGCCGGAAACGGGCGCUAAUACCGCAUACGCCCUAAGGGGGAAAGUGGGGGAUCUUCGGACCUCACGCUAUCAGAUGAACCUAUGUCGGAUUAGCUAGUUGGUGGGGUAAAGGCCUACCAAGGCGACGAUCCGUAGCUGGUCUGAGAGGAUGAUCAGUCACACUGGAACUGAGACACGGUCCAGACUCCUACGGGAGGCAGCAGUGGGGAAUAUUGGACAAUGGGCGCAAGCCUGAUCCAGCCAUGCCGCGUGUGUGAAGAAGGUCUUCGGAUUGUAAAGCACUUUAAGUUGGGAGGAAGGGCAGUAAGUUAAUAGCCUGCUGUGUUGACGUUACCAACAGAAUAAGCACCGGCUAACUUCGUG